rnacentral:lncRNA from 1 species
ACUGGAGGGUCCCCUGUCCUUGUUCUACAAUCAUAACACACCCACACAGGGGCCUGCUUCUUCAGGGGUUUAGUGCCCUCCACUGGGGGACAAAGGGUAAUCAACGGACUAUUAUGCAACUCACAAAAUUCUUACUGUCUUUCCCCUUCUCAGGGAGAAUUAUGUCCUACCAGAGGUACCAAAACAUUAUGCCUCGAAAUCAUUCAGGAUGCAUCUUUUUAAAAAAUCUCAGUGAGCAACGCUAAAGAAGAGAGACCACAAGCUCUAGACGUUUUCCUGUAUAAUUAAGGAAUACAAUUUUCUAAUCUCAUGUAAUAACUUCCCCAAUUACUCUAAAAUGACUGGUAUAGCUGGUUUGUAUAGGUAAGGAUUUAGCCAAGGCCCAGGAAUUGCCCUUGGUUGGUGGUAACAUAUAUUUCAACAUAGAUCCUGUCUGCCCCAGUGGCUCCCCAGCCCACCACACAUUGCUGGCUUGCUGGAAGGAAUGGGUGAGUUGUUGCCUCCAC